UCUGUCUGUGUGAUGCUUUUACCGGGAACAGAACAGGAAUGGAGUCUUAGAAUUUAAACCACUUCUGCAACACUGCCUAUUAAAGGAAACAACUUCAAUGCCACCUCUGCUGAAAUCCCAAGUCCCUUCCUCUCAUCUCAUUGGAGUUGUAAAAGAUGUACAUCCUGCAAAACAGGGAGAAAAAUACUGGACUUCAUCUCUGCCACAAACUGGAUUCAUAGACACUAAGGUCAGAAGGGACCAUUAUGAUCAUCUAGUCUGACCUUCUGUAC